rnacentral:rRNA from 1 species
ACAGCAGUAGCCACGGGAAUACGUAGGUGGCAAGCGUUGUCCGGAAUUAUUGGGCGUAAAGCGCGCGCAGGCGGUUUCUUAAGUCUGAUGUGAAAGCCCCCGGCUUAACCGGGGAGGGUCAUUGGAAACUGGGAGACUUAGAGUGCAGAAGAGGAGAGUGGAAUUCCAUGUGUAGCGGUGAAAUGCGUAGAUGUAUGGAGGAACACCAGUGGCGAAGGCGACUCUCUGGUCUGUAACUGACGCUGAGGCGCGAAAGCGUGGGGAGCAAACAGGAUUAGAUACCCCUGUAGUCCCUGUCUCUUAUA